CGCCUUCCCAAAAUGGCGGCGGGGCCGGGAGGCGGCCGCGGGUAUAUUGCCUUCUCCAGGCCUUCGCGUUUCUUGUGCAACCCGCCGCCGUCGCUAAGGGGAGCGGAGAGAGGAACUGGUGGAGGAAAAGAGUGAAGACUGUAAGUACAGAGAUAAGAGAAUUCAAGAACAAAACAGUGUUAUGAACACUGAUAGUCUGGAAGUCAUCAAAUGAGUGGGGCCUGAUUGCCAGCUUGGAAAGAAUGGGCUUUAAAAUGUAUGCUUACAUGCGGUAUGUAACAUACAGAAAUACGUAUCUGCCUAGAACUGAUAGAGAAGAUAGGGAAAAAAUCUAAAAGAAGCACGUUACUGAUUUGUGACCAAAUUCUGAAGAGAUAAUUUUAAAAAAUAUGUAUCUUGUCACAUGUGCUUUUUAACCUUUUUCCUGAGAAGAUAAAACCUAUGUAAUUGUGCUACCUGAACAAGCAUUUGGUUUUCUGUCUGCCUGGCAUAAUUUUUCCAGGUAGUGUUAGAAGUCAUGACCAAUUUCAACCAAAUUUAACAGAAGGUUACAGGUUAUUACAUUGCUGCAAAUUACAUGGAAACAGGUAGCAACGCAGAGCAGGCUUUUCAGUGGGAGGAAAAUGCCAGUGUGCAUGCAGUUUAUAUUUGGAAAGUUGAGUCAGAAGUCUCCUGCUCAUGGAAAUAUUUGCUACUAUCGUAUUUGGAUAGUUACUGAAAAUUGUAAAUGUGUUUAUUCUGCACACCUCAGCACUGGGAAAACUACCACAUAUCUACAGAAAAUGUAAUUAUUUCCCUAUUCUAUUAUGAGCCAGACUCAAAGCCCUUUCAAGAUACUGAUGUUCUAGAUCCAGUAUAAACUAAAUGGAUUUCACAACAAAAGCAUUCAGCUUGUUUGCUGAAUGUCAUUAUUCACAUUGUCUCUUAGCUGCUUAUAGUGAUGGUAGCUAACAGCUUCACAAUUAAGAGAAUACAGAAAAUAGGCUUUUUAAGAGUAAAGCAAAUAACCAAAGAGAGAGUUUUUAAGAAUCCUAAGUAGAUAUUUAUGCCCUGCAUCCCUGGAAAUUAGCCCCAGUAUGGAUAAAGAGAGGGAUAAGUUAACAAAGGGUGUUAAUCCCUGUGACAUUAAGAAAAAACACAACAAAACAAAACCCCAGCAUAUUUAACACUACCACAAAAAUGCAGGCGGUAUUUCCACUUAUUACAAGUGGAAGUCAAACUUGUAUGAACGUUGCUUUUAGAUUAUUGCAUAUAUUUGUACAAGUAGUUUAUUUAUCAUUAGUAGAAAUUAGUUAUGUAGUAAAAUCUUCUACAAUUACAUUUCCUUGACUUACUGAGUGAGCAAUGCCCAUUCUGAUGAAAUGUAGUUUUCUGCAAUGUAUUUAGUUCCACCUCCAACAAGUUUUAUUUUGUAGCUUUUGUCUUAAAACUCUGCAAAAUGCAUUUUAAUAAUAUCAUAUGAAUACUUUGCUAAGCCUUUACAGACAAAAAGUACUAUUAUAAAUAAAUUAUUUGCCUCAACACAGUUGAGCCAAUCCUUUUAUUAGGAUUUAGUGAAGAACCUGACCAAAACACUUCUUGAUGUCUAGAAUAAAGUUACCUCAAACAGUC